GACGAACGCUGGCGGCGUGCUUAACACGUGCAAGUCGAACGGAAAGGCCCUGCUUUUGUGGGGUGCUCGAGUGGCGAACGGGUGAGUAACACGUGAGUAACCUGCCCUUGACUUUGGGAUAACUUCAGGAAACUGGGGCUAAUACCGGAUAGGAGCUCCUGCUGCAUGGUGGGGGUUGGAAAGUUUCGGCGGUUGGGGAUGGACUCGCGGCUUAUCAGCUUGUUGGUGGGGUAGUGGCUUACCAAGGCUUUGACGGGUAGCCGGCCUGAGAGGGUAACCGGCCACAUUGAGACUGAGAUACGGCCCAGACUCCUACGGGAGGCAGCAGUGGGGAAUAUUGCACAAUGGGCGGAAGCCUGAUGCAGCAACGCCGCGUGCGGGAUGACGGCCUUCGGGUUGUAAACCGCUUUCGCCUGUGACGAAGCGUGAGUGACGGUAAUGGGUAAAGAAGCACCGGCUAACUACGUG
rnacentral:rRNA from 1 species